GAGACAACGUCCCGUCAGUGUUUGGCCUGGAUGUGACAGACGUGUCGAGGUGGGAGGAGACGGUGCUGAACCCUGCACUGCAGAUACUGGACAGCCUCAGUAAGGGUGAAGAACCAGCUAUUGCUCCAAUCAGAGUGCAGGCGGCGGAGCAGAGAAACAAACGCAGCCACCACACCUGUGACCUGUGUGACAAAGUCAUCAUUGGUGACCUGGAGUGGACAGCUCACCUGAAAUCCAAGAAGCAUCACUAUCAUGUGAGGAAAAAGAGGAAGCUUGAUCCAGCCGGUGACCGGUCCCUGAGUGCCGGUGCACCUCCAGUGUCUGCAGGAGAGACUCUCUCAGAGGACUCUGGUGCUACUGUUGCCCCGGGCUGCACUGAAGCCUCUCAGGAUUCCUCCAAAGACACCAGGACGACACACAAGGAAGUACCUGUGACAUUUUAAAAGCUGGACUACAUCCAUUUUCGUUCACGUUUGUGCACCAACAAAUGGAUGUUUAAUUACAGUCCUCUGUUUCCUCCCAUGGAGCCAAAUGGAAGUAAUAACUCUGAACUGUGCUGAUUGUUGAUACGAACAAAAAAAAACACGUUUGAAAUCCUGCAUAAAUACGUUCAUAAGUGAAUGUUCACAGACAGAAGCGUUGGUCUUGAGGUUUUUGUCGUAGGGAUGUGAACUCUAAAGGACAAAUGAGAUGUUUAAUGGCCUGUGCAGCUGAAGAAUUCUGCAUUUUAAUGUUUUGGGUUUUUCUUUAAUUUACAUUUUAAGAGGUUUAUUUUUCUAUUUCUACAGAUUG